rnacentral:rRNA from 1 species
AUGAACGCUGGCGGCGUGCCUAAUACCUGCAAGUCGAGCGAACAGACGAGGAGCUUGCUCCUCUGACGUUAGCGGCGGACGGGUGAGUAACACGUGGAUAACCUACCUAUAAGACUGGGAUAACUUCGGGAAACCGGAGCUAAUACCGGAUAAUAUAUUGAACCGCAUGGUUCAAUAGUGAAAGACGGUUUUGCUGUCACUUAUAGAUGGAUCCGCGCCGCAUUAGCUAGUUGGUAAGGUAACGGCUUACCAAGGCAACGAUGCGUAGCCGACCUGAGAGGGUGAUCGGCCACACUGGAACUGAGACACGGUCCAGACUCCGACGGGAGGCAGCAGUAGGGAAUCUUCCGCAAUGGGCGAAAGCCUGACGGAGCAACGCCGCGUGAGUGAUGAAGGUCUUCGGAUCGUAAAACUCUGUUAUUAGGGAAGAACAAAUGUGUAAGUAACUAUGCACGUCUUGACGGUACCUAAUCAGAAAGCCACGGCUAACUACGUG